CUGCAAGUCGAACGCACAGCGAAAGGUGCUUGCACCUUUCAAGUGAGUGGCGAACGGGUGAGUAACACGUGGACAACCUGCCUCAAGGCUGGGGAUAACAUUUGGAAACAGAUGCUAAUACCGAAUAAAACUUAGUGUCGCAUGACACAAAGUUAAAAGGCGCUUCGGCGUCACCUAGAGAUGGAUCCGCGGUGCAUUAGUUAGUUGGUGGGGUAAAGGCCUACCAAGACAAUGAUGCAUAGCCGAGUUGAGAGACUGAUCGGCCACAUUGGGACUGAGACACGGCCCAAACUCCUACGGGAGGCUGCAGUAGGGAAUCUUCCACAAUGGGCGAAAGCCUGAUGGAGCAACGCCGCGUGUGUGAUGAAGGCUUUCGGGUCGUAAAGCACUGUUGUAUGGGAAGAACAGCUAGAAUAGGAAAUGAUUUUAGUUUGACGGUACCAUACCAGAAAGGGACGGCUAAAUACGUGCCAGCAGCCGCGGUAAUACGUAUGUCCCGAGCGUUAUCCGGAUUUAUUGGGCGUAAAGCGAGCGCAGACGGUUUAUUAAGUCUGAUGUGAAAGCCCGGAGCUCAACUCCGGAAUGGCAUUGGAAACUGGUUAACUUGAGUGCAGUAGAGGUAAGUGGAACUCCAUGUGUAGCGGUGGAAUGCGUAGAUAUAUGGAAGAACACCAGUGGCGAAGGCGGCUUACUGGACUGCAACUGACGUUGAGGCUCGAAAGUGUGGGUAGCAAACAGGAUUAGAUACCCUGGUAGUCCACACCGUAAACGAUGAACACUAGGUGUUAGGAGGUUUCCGCCUCUUAGUGCCGAAGCUAACGCAUUAAGUGUUCCGCCUGGGGAGUACGACCGCAAGGUUGAACUCAAAGGAAUUGACGGGGACCCGCACAAGCGGUGGAGCAUGUGGUUUAAUUCGAAGCAACGCGAAGAACCUUACCAGGUCUUGACAUCCUUUGAAGCUUUUAGAGAUAGAAGUGUUCUCUUC
rnacentral:rRNA from 1 species